rnacentral:tRNA from 1 species
CGGGGUGUAGCGCAGAUGGUAGCGUGCUACGUUCGGGACGUAGAGGUCGCAAGUUCGAAUCUUGUCACCCCGAC